GGUUCCAUAGUGUAGCUGUUAGCACAUCUGCUUUACACGCAGAAGGUCCUGGGUUUACACCCCGGUGGAGCCA
rfam:Pteropus alecto contig108034, whole genome shotgun sequence.